UACGAAGGGUGCAAGCGUUGCUCGGAAUUAUUGGGCGUAAAGGGUAGGUAGGUGGUGAUAAAAGUCUGGAGUGAAAUCCCUAAGCUUAACUUAGGACGUGCUUUGGAAACUUUAUCACUAGAGUACUAGAGAGGUUCGUGGAAUUCCUGGUGUAGCGGUGAAAUGCGUAGAGAUCAGGAGGAACAUCAGCGGCGAAGGCGGCGAACUGGAUAGUAACUGACACUCAACUACGAAAGCGUGGGGAGCAAACAGG
rnacentral:rRNA from 1 species